AAGUGCCUGUAAAUAAACCCUGAGUGGGCAACAUGAAUGGCCGCAGACCAGACAAAAUGAGAAUCCAGUUAAACAAGUGCAUGAAAUAUGCCCCUUAGUCCACUCAGCCUGCAACACAAAAGCACAGAACAGGCAGCUUCUAAACCACAGACAUUGACUUCCGUUCUGGAGGCCGGAAGUCCAAGAUGGAGGGUCCCGCAGAUUCCGUGUCUGAAACAUUGGCAAAAUCAUCUUCAUUGUUCAUAGAUUGUUGCAGCAGAUCCAACUGAAGGAUACACCAACCAUUUUAAUCGGACACAAAAGAACAGGCUGUCCUCACCUGACCACCACCCACAACAACCGAACUUUAAUCAGACACAAAAGAACAGGCUGUCACCUGACCACCACCCACAACAACCGAAGGGCAGGAGUCUUGCUGUGUCACCAGGCUGAUCUCGGCUCACCACAACCUCCGCCGCCCAAGUUCAAGUAAUUCUCCAGCCUCAGCCUCCCCAGUAGCUGGGACUACAGGCAUGUGCCACCAUGUCCAGCUAAUUUUUGUAUUUUUAGUAGAGACAGGGUUUCACCACGUUGGCCAGGAUGGUCUCGAUCUCUUGACCUUGUGAUCCACCUACCCCAGCCUCCCAAAGUGCUGGGAUUACAGGCGUGAGCCACCGUGCCUGGCCCUGGUUUCCUUUUUCUUAGCAAUCUUUUCUUCAAUAUACUUUUUCCAACUCUCACAUUUUACUAUGAGCAGCAAGAAGAAACCAGGCUCUUCCUUCAACAUUUUCCUUAGAGAUCUCCUCAGCUAAAUAUCCAAGUUUGUCCCCUACAGGUUAUACUUUCGACACAACAAGACACAAUUGCACCAACUUCUCUACCAUGUUGUGGCAAAGAUCAUCUCCUGCGUUUUCCAAUAGCAUGUUCCUAUUUCCGUCUGAGCCCUCCCCAGAAUCACCUUUAACAUCCAUAUGUCUACCAACUGUAUCUUCAGAACAAUUGAGUCUUCUUCUGACAUAAAUGUUAAAACUCUCUCUGCCUCUAACCGUUACCCAGUUCCAAAGCCACCCCGGCAUUGUCAGGUAUUGGUCACAGCACUUCCUUUCUCAGAACCAAAAUCUCUCUUAGCCUGCUCAGGCUUCCAGAGCACAGGAACACACACCAGGGGACUUAAAGCCAAAGAAACCCACUGUCGUAGAGUUGUGAGGUCUAGAAGUCCAAAAUCAGAGUGUUGUCAGGGCCAACCUACACCUCGUGCUGUAAAGGGGGCCCUCCCUUGCCUCUUCCUCCUCCUGGUCACCCCAGGCAUUACUCACCCUGUUGACGGGUCCUAAUCUCUGCCUCUGACUUCACGUGGAUUCUUCCUGUGUGUGCAUCUGUCUCCAAAUGUCCCCAUUUCAUAAGGGCACUUCUUUAGGCAUUUCAUUAAGGCUCACCCUAGUGAUUUCACUUUGAAUUGUUUGCUUAAGAUCACAUUUUGAGGUAGUGGGGGUUAGGCUUUCUACAUAUCUGUUUUAGAUAAAAAUUCCAAAUUCAGACAAAAUUCAACCUAUGACAAAGUCAUGCUAUUGCUAUUACAUACUCGACCUAUAACGAAGUUACACUAUUAACUCACUACUACAUACUCAGUAUAACAAACUCACUCUAAUACUCACUACUACAUACUCAGUAUAACAAAGUCAUGGUAAUACUCACUACUACAUACUUGGUAUAACAAAGUCACGCUAAUACUAACUACUACAUACUCGGUACAAAGUCAUGCUAAUACUCACUACUACAUACUUGACCUAUGACAAAGUCACACUAUUACCACUGCCCAACCAACCUAUAACGCAGUCACACUAUUACUCACUGCUACACACUCGACCUAUAAGAAAGUCAUGGUAUUACCGCUGCAUAUCCGACCUACGACAAAGUCACCCUAUUACUCACUGCUGCAUACUCAAUCCCAGAUUUACAAUCGGAAGCCUCUGCUGGUGAAAAUAUGGAAGUCAAUACUGAAUGUCCCUUUCUUUGCCAUAAAACUGCCAUCACACAGAAGAGAGAACUUACCAAGCAAUACCAACACAUUCAUUCUCCAAUAAAAUUAUUAAUUUCUU
rnacentral:lncRNA from 1 species